UACGGGGGGGCAAGCGUUGUUCGGAAUUACUGGGCGUAAAGGGCUCGUAGGUGGCCAACUAAGUCAGACGUGAAAUCCCUCAGCUUAACUGGGGAACUGCGUCUGAUACUGGAUGGCUUGAGUUUGGGAGAGGGAUGCGGAAUUCCUGGUGUAGCGGUGAAAUGCGCAGAUAUCAGGAGGAACACCGGUGGCGAAGGCGGAUCUCUGGGCCAUUACUGACGCUGAGGAGCGAAAGCGUGGGGAGCGAACAGG
rnacentral:rRNA from 1 species